GCCGCCGUAGCUCAGUUGGAAGAGCACCGGGCUGUUAACCCGGGGGUCCUGGGUUCGAAUCCCAGCGGCGGCGCCA
rnacentral:tRNA from 1 species